UGGAAAUGAUGUAAAUGUUUAUUUCUUGACACUGAAAAAUUUGGAAGUUAAAAUGCUGAUUUAAUGAGGCUGAUCC